AAAUUUUCUGUCGAGUUUUCUAAAGAUGAAGUUGAUGGAGGAAGAGAGGGAAUAUGAAGAGGAAAAGGAAAUUAAGGUUACGAAGGAGGAAGAGGCGGACGGUGAGGACGAAAGUGAGGUAGAAGGCGGCGAAGAGGAAGAAGAAGACGACGACGACGAUGAAGAUGAUGAUGAUGAUGGGGAAGACGAUGACGACGAUGACGACGACGGAGGAGAAGAGGAUGAUGAUGAGGAAGUGCAGGUUAUUCACUCUUCCGGUGGUCCUCCGGUGCAGUCAGUGGAUGACGAUGAGGAUGACGACGAGGACGAGGAUGAUGAAGACGACGACGACGGUGAAGGAGACGGCGGCGACGACGACGAC
rnacentral:lncRNA from 1 species